CUUCAUAGCCAUUUGAAAGAGGACUACAUGCCCGACUGUUGCGCUUGAUGAAAAAAUGGAUAAAUCUCUUUAGUUAAGAUACAGUUUAUCGUAUUAGAGCCUUAAGUCAACUAAGCAGACCAUGGUUCAUGCACGAUGAGCAUGCUAUGCAACUGGCUCAUCAUUUCAGUUUCCAAGAGAUUAUUAAUCUUAUUCAUAUCCCAGCCUCAGUGAGAGGAUAAUAGAUCACUAACCCAA
rnacentral:lncRNA from 1 species